rnacentral:rRNA from 1 species
GCUUGUCUCAAAGAUUAAGCCAUGCACGUCUGAGAAUAAAGAGUUUUCUCUGAAUCUGCGAAUGGCUCAUUAUAUCAGUUAUAGUUUAUUUGAUAGUCCUUUACUACUUGGAUAACCGUAGUAAUUCUAGAGCUAAUACAUGCAGGAAGACCCGACUCACGAAGGGUUGUAUUUAUUAGAUAAGAAACCUUCCCCUUUGGGUUGCGUGCCGAGUCACAAUAACUGCUCGAAUCGCAUGGCUUCACGCCGGCGAUGGUUCAUUCAAAUUUCUGCCCUAUCAGCUUUCGAUGGUAGGAUCGAGGCCUACCAUGGCGUUUACGGGUAACGGAGAAUUAGGGUUCGAUUCCGGAGAGGGAGCCUGAGAGAUGGCUACCACAUCCAAGGAAGGCAGCAGG